rnacentral:rRNA from 1 species
UUCGCCCUUAGAGUUUGAUCCUGGCUCAGGACGAACGCUGGCGGCGCGCCUAACACAUGCAAGUCGAACGGAGCUUAGAGAGCUUGCUUUUUAAGCUUAGUGGCGAACGGGUGAGUAACGCGUGAGUAACCUGCCCUAGAGUGGGGGACAACAGUUGGAAACGACUGCUAAUACCGCAUAAGCCCACGGUACCGCAUGAUACUGAGGGAAAAGGAUUUAUUCGCUUUAGGAUGGACUCGCGUCCAAUUAGCUAGUUGGUGAGGUAACGGCCCACCAAGGCGACGAUUGGUAGCCGGACUGAGAGGUUGAACGGCCACAUUGGGACUGAGACACGGCCCAGACUCCUACGGGAGGCAGCAGUGGGGGAUAUUGCACAAUGGGGGAAACCCUGAUGCAGCGACGCCGCGUGGAGGAAGAAGGUUUUCGGAUUGUAAACUCCUGUCGUUAGGGACGAUAAUGACGGUACCUAACAAGAAAGCACCGGCUAACUACGUGCCAGCAGCCGCGGUAAAACGUAGGGCGCAAGCGUUGUCCGGAAUUACUGGGUGUAAAGGGAGCGCAGGCGGGAAGACAAGUUGGAAGUGAAAACCAUGGGCUCAACCCAUGAAUUGCUUUCAAAACUGUUUUUCUUGAGUAGUGCAGAGGUAGAUGGAAUUCCCGGUGUAGCGGUGGAAUGCGUAGAUAUCGGGAGGAACACCAGUGGCGAAGGCGGUCUACUGGGCACCAACUGACGCUGAGGCUCGAAAGCAUGGGUAGCAAACAGGAUUAGAUACCCUGGUAGUCCAUGCCGUAAACGAUGAUUACAUAGGCGGUGGGGGGAUUAACCCCCCUCCGUGCCGGCAGUUAACACAAUAAGUAAUCCACCUGGGGAGUACGACCGCAAGGUUGAAACUCAAAGGAAUUGACGGGGGCCCGCACAAGCAGUGGAGUAUGUGGUUUAAUUCGAAGCAACGCGAAGAACCUUACCCGGUCUUGACAUCCGAUGCAUAGCACAGAGAUGUGUGAAAUCCUUCGGGACAUCGAGACAGGUGGUGCAUGGUUGUCGUCAGCUCGUGUCGUGAGAUGUUGGGUUAAGUCCCGCAACGAGCGCAACCCUUAUUGCCAGUUACUACGUUAAGAGGACUCUGGCGAGACUGCCGUUGACAAAACGGAGGAAGGUGGGAAUGACGUCAAAUCAUCAUGCCCUUUAUGACCUGGGCUACACACGUACUACAAUGGCGUUAAACAAAGAGAAGCAAGACCGCGAGGUGGAGCAAAACUCAAAAACAACGUCUCAGUUCAGAUUGCAGGCUGCAACUCGCCUGCAUGAAGUCGGAAUUGCUAGUAAUCGCGGAUCAGCAUGCCGCGGUGAAUACGUUCCCGGGCCUUGCACACACCGCCCGUCA